rnacentral:lncRNA from 1 species
UUUCCUGUUAAUACAAUUAUAGCAUGAACGAUAGACGAUUAUCAUGAACAAGGAAAUAUGAUAAUAACCAUUUUAUUAUUGCCUCUAGGGCAUAUUUCCAACAAACCCAACUUACUGGAAUCAACAAAUCCCCUCAAAUUUAUGAUAUAACAGCUAAAAAUGGGAUAAUGGAGAAAAAACGAAAAUCCCCCCUAGCACCUAUGGAGCCCACAAAUAAGCACUCUCUGUCACUGCCACUCCUUGUCCCGUGACACACGAUCGAAGAAGGCUAACAGAAUAAAGAAAACAAGCAAAUGGGCUGGACACAUGCGUUACACGGGCGAAAGCAAGACAAACACACUUCCAGCAUGAAUCUUGAAGUAAAGACAUAUCCGGUGGGAGGCACAUCCACUAAGACUUCGUUAAAUCUCAGUUGACCAAGAUUUAGCAAGUCCGCUCUUUGUUAGCUAUAUAGGGUACGCCUCGUGAAAAUCGUUAGCUACCAUAUCAUUCAUCACCCCUAAAUCAAGACAUGGAGGUGUUCUUUGUCCUUUUAUAUCCCUAACUUUUCAUGUAACCAUUUGUCCUUCCGUGCAUAGUUACAUCUGGGUGUACUAAAUGUUAGGUCAUGAAAUUGCAAGCAUAACAUAGUAAGAGCAUCAAUGACCACACAACCUGGUGUAUAUAUGGACAAUAAGAUUUGCAUGCUCAGAACGGUAACAUGGUGGAUAUUCAAGAUCCAGUGCAAACUUUUGAACAUACAGCCUUUAAAAGACAUACAUCCCCUUUCUCUUUUUUAUUUCUCAUAUCAUACGCAACGACUCAUGAACGGUACUUCAAAAUCAACAACUCAUACACUAGUGUGUUUGUAAUUAAGACCACUUCCAAUCUUUUUGAUUGAUUAAUUUGCAAUACAAUAGUCAACAAUGAAAAUGUUCACUAUUAGGAAAAUCCAUAUAUGCAACCACCUAUUAGUGGCGCGGAUUAACUAGCCCGCGCUACACCUAGAUAGUGGCAUAGCGGGUAGAAACAACGUGCUAGGAAGUUAGCGAGUUAUAACACAUAGGAUUUGGAGGCAUUUGGAAGUUAGCAAGAACCAAAUGUGGUUUACAAGGUGCUUGCAAUUUUGUGACACAUAGGCAAGACGCAACUACGAUCACUCAAAGAACUCCCCAAUGCUCAUUUUCCCUAUAUGAUCGCAACACAACCACAUUAGAUUCCCGAAUCAAAGUCCACGGUCGUCUUUCAACAUGUUCUGCAAAGCGCGGGUAUUGUUGUUGUGGCAUUGUUGUGCUCCCCCUAUCAGUGGUAUUCCUGGGUUGCGUGACAUCGAACACAACCAGUGGUGCCGGCUGGGCAGUGUUGUGUCAACAUCAUAGUCCAAGGACUAACUUACGAGAGAUGCCUUGGGGAAUCACUAGGAUAAUUUGUGUUUGGGGCGAUGAAUGGCCUGUGAGUCUAUGCAAGCACAUAUCACAACCCAUAUCUUGUGAUACAUCUGAGCACAAUGAAACUUGGCUAGGCUGUGUAUUUUCCAGCUCAUUUAAUUAUUAACACUAGCAAAAGAGUCCAUGAGUCGCAAUGGGAAAAAAGUAUCGCCCAACCCUAAUCCAAUAACCAUGACUAAGACCAAAAUAGGUCUUGCCGAGGCGUCUCUCUCGGCAUAAUAUGAAAAAUCUACUUUUUUUGCAGGCAAGGUUUUGUCAAGGCGUGCAUGCACAAUUAUUGACGGGUUCCUUCGUCUCCAAUUUGUCUUUGAUGAGGUGUCCAUUCCAUUCCUGGUCGGUGCCGGUAUGAAAGAAAGUUGGAUCAUGUGCUAUUGAUUAAGAUUGCAUCAUAAAUAGCAUCUAAAAAUAUAUUUAAAUAGUAAAAUAACAUCGAAUUUAUGCUCUACGCUUUUUCUAAUAAAUUAUAUAUAACACGUUAAAAUUGAAGUUAGGGUUUAAGGGGAUGU